rnacentral:rRNA from 1 species
CCUACGGGCGGCAGCAGUGAGGAAUAGUGGUCAAUGGGCGGGAGCCUGAACCAGCCAAGUCGCGUGAGGGAAGACGGUCCUAUGGAUUGUAAACCUCUUUAGGCGGGGAGCAAUGCCGGGCACGUGUGCCCGGAGGGAGAGAACCCGCAGAAUAAGCAUCGGCUAACUCCGUGACAGCAGCCGCGGUAAUACGUGGGAUGCGAGCGUUAUCCGGAUGUAUGGGGUUUAAAGGGUGCGGAGGCGGAUUUUUAAGUCAGCGGUAACAGGUCCGGGCUCAACCCGGGCCGGCCGUUGAAACUGGGGAUGUUGAGUGGGCGAGAAGUAUGCGGAAUGCGUGGUGUAGCGGUGAAAUGCAUAGAUAUCACGCAGAACUCCGAUUGCGAAGGCAGCAUACCGGCGCCCGACUGACGCUGAGGCACGAAAGCGUGGGGAUCGAACAGGAUUAGAUACCCGUGUAGUC